GAUUCAUGUUGCAGUCCUAUACCCACUUAUCUGGAAGUCUCUUCUUGGCGAUCACUCGUGACCGAAUACAGCAAUAAUAAUAAAGGUACAAGAGCAAAACACUUAAAGAAAUGUCAUCAGAGGCAUGCAGCAAGUCCAGGGAUCAAUAAAAACAAAAUUGUGGAAAAAGUACAUAUAGGCAACCACAGAAACAGAAAUUUAUCAGAAGAAAACAUCAGUAUGGAAGGGAAGUUUCAAUACUUACAAGAUCUGAACAGGGUGGUUUAUAACAGAUGCUAUUGGAGGUCCCUGAUUCAUAGGGUCGCCAUAAGUCGAAAUCGACUGGAAGGCAUAUAACAACAAAAACCAUUAUAAGGAGUAGGGUGUCAGAUUACAGAUAUUACCAAAUAUCCCAGUAAUGAGGUGAUAAUGAGGUGAGGUCCCUGUGUAAAUAUUGAAAUUGUUGUAUACGAAGUAAAAGGGUACCAAAUGAAAUAAAUAGAAACUGGAGGUUCUUGUUCUUGUGAAA